rnacentral:misc_RNA from 1 species
GCCGAAUGGCAUUAAUGUAAGCGUCCUGAAUGCUUCUAUCAAUAAUGUUAUCUUUCCCACUGACAAGACCAGCUCUAGCAGCAUCUUCAGGGGUCUCAGGAAAGCCAAAAGCUGCCCCACCAUCUAUUGAUCUAAACAACUGAACAUUCCAGGUGUCAUGGUCGUCUGGGUACAUAACAGGAGACGGAGGAAUAAUUAUUUCAUCAAGCUCUCGUAGCUGCACAAGUACAUCCUUCCCACCUUGUUUCCUCCACCUUUGCUCAAAAUUGAACAAAACAUCCCAGGCAAUGGGCCCUUCAAGCCGGGAAUGGAUAUCGUGCCAAGGUUCCCUCGGUCCACCUUUUGUUAUUGAUGCACCAGCAAAAUUUGGUUGAUGGAAAUCGUCAUGAUGUGCAGUAUCCAAUGUCCUGAAAAGGGAGUGAAAGGGUGUGUCAUACCUACCAUCACAUAGAUCAAUGCCACCAACGAAACUCACAAUUCUCCUCUUAUCUGACUCUCCACUUGGCAUUGGGCUAUCCACCACAACAAUCUUCUGGUGAUGAGUGAACAUGGU